rnacentral:rRNA from 1 species
GACGAACGCUGGCGGCGUGCCUAAUACAUGCAAGUCGAACGAACCGCGACUAGGUGCUUGCACUUGGUCAAGGUGAGUGGCGAACGGGGGAGUAACACGUGGGUAACCUACCUCAUAGUGGGGGAUAAAAGUCGGAAACGACUGCUAAUACCGCAUAGGACAUAGGAUCACAUGAUUCUGUGAGGGAAAGUGGCGCAAGCUAUCGCUAAGAGAUGGAACCGCGGUGCAUUAGCUAGUUGGUAGGGUAAAGGCCUACCAAGGCGAUGAUGCAUAGCCGACCUGAGAGGGUGAUCGGCCACAUUGGGACUGAGACACGGCCCAAACUCCUACGGGAGGCAGCAGUAGGGAAUCUUCCGCAAUGGACGCAAGUCUGACGGAGCAACGCCGCGUGAGUGAAGAAGGUCUUCGGAUCGUAAAGCUCUGUUGUUAGAGAAGAACAGCGCAUAGAGUAACUGUUAUGCGUGUGACGGUAUCUAACCAGAAAGCCACGGCUAACUACGUG